GGCCAGACUCCUACGGGAGGCAGCAGUGAGGAAUAUUGGUCAAUGGACGAGAGUCUGAACCAGCCAAGUAGCGUGAAGGAUGACUGCCCUAUGGGUUGUAAACUUCUUUUAUAUGGGAAUAAAACAGGGUAUGCAUACCCUCUUGUAUGUACCAUAUGAAUAAGGAUCGGCUAACUCCGUGCCAGCAGCCGCGGUAAUACGGAGGAUGCGAGCGUUAUCCGGAUUUAUUGGGUUUAAAGGGUGCGUAGGCGGAAUGCCAAGUCAGCGGUAAAAUCGCGGGGCUCAACCUCGCUCCGCCGUUGAAACUGGCGUUCUUGAGUGGGCGAGAAGUAUGCGGAAUGCGUGGUGUAGCGGUGAAAUGCAUAGAUAUCACGCAGAACUCCGAUUGCGAAGGCAGCAUACCGGCGCCCAACUGACGCUGAAGCACGAAAGCGUGGGUAUCGAACAGGAUUAGAUACCCGGGUACG
rnacentral:rRNA from 1 species